rnacentral:rRNA from 1 species
GACGAACGCUGGCGGCGUGCCUAAUACAUGCAAGUAGGACGCAGUUGCGAACGGGUGAGUAACGCGUAGGUAACUACCUAUUAGAGGGGGAUAACUAUUGGAAACGAUAGCUAAUACCGCAUACUAGUAGAUGGACCUGCGUUGUAUUAGCUAGUAGGUAGGGUAAUGGCCUACCUAGGCAACGAUACAUAGCCGACCUGAGAGGGUGAUCGGCCACACUGGGACUGAGACACGGCCCAGACUCCUACGGGAGGCAGCAGUAGGGAAUCUUCGGCAAUGGGGGGAACCCUGACCGAGCAACGCCGCGUGAGUGAAGAAGGUUUUCGGAUCGUAAAGCUCUGUUGUUAAGGAAGCGGUACUUAACCAGAAAGGGACGGCUAACUACGUGCCAGCAGCCGCGGUAAUAC